ACGAACGCUGGCGGCGUGCUUAACACAUGCAAGUCGAACGGAAAGGCCCUGCUUUUGUGGGGUGCUCGAGUGGCGAACGGGUGAGUAACACGUGAGUAACCUGCCCUUGCUUUGGGGUAACCUUCAGGAAAUGGGGGUAAUACCCGGUAGGGAGUUCUGGUUCCCUGUGGGGGGUGGGAAGGUUCGGCGGGUGGGGAUGGACUCGCGGCUUAUCAGCGUGGUGGUGGGGUAGGGGCUUAACAAGGCUUUGACGGGGAGCCGGCCUGAGAGGGUGACCGGCCACAUUGGGACUGAGAUACGGCCCAGACUCCUACGGGAGGCAGCAGUGGGGAAUAUUGCACAAUGGGCGGAAGCCUGAUGCAGCAACGCCGCGUGCGGGAUGACGGCCUUCGGGUUGUAAACCGCUUUCGCCUGUGACGAAGCGUGAGUGACGGUAAUGGGUAAAGAAGCACCGGCUAACUACGUG
rnacentral:rRNA from 1 species